rnacentral:rRNA from 1 species
AACGAACGCUGGCGGCAUGCCUAACACAUGCAAGUCGAACGAGACCUUCGGGUCUAGUGGCGCACGGGUGCGUAACGCGUGGGAACCUGCCCUUAGGUUCGGAAUAACUCCCCGAAAGGGGUGCUAAUACCGGAUAAUGUCUUCGGACCAAAGAUUUAUCGCCUUUGGAUGGGCCCGCGUUGGAUUAGCUAGUUGGUAGGGUAAAAGCCUACCAAGGCGACGAUCCAUAGCUGGUCUGAGAGGAUGAUCAGCCACACUGGGACUGAGACACGGCCCAGACUCGUAGGAGAGGCAGCAGUUGGGAAACUGUGACCAUGGGCGAGAGGCUGAGCCAGCGAGGCCGCGUGAGUGAUGAAGGCGUUAGGGUCGUCAAGCUCUUUUACCCGGGAUGAUAAUGACAGUACCGGGAGAAUAAGCUCCGGCUAACUCCGUG